rnacentral:rRNA from 1 species
AGUGAACGCUGGCGGUAGGCCUAACACAUGCAAGUCGAACGGCAGCACAGUAAGAGCUUGCUCUUACGGGUGGCGAGUGGCGGACGGGUGAGGAAUACAUCGGAAUCUACUUUUUCGUGGGGGAUAACGUAGGGAAACUUACGCUAAUACCGCAUACGACCUACGGGUGAAAGCAGGGGAUCUUCGGACCUUGCGCGAUUGAAUGAGCCGAUGUCGGAUUAGCUAGUUGGCGGGGUAAAGGCCCACCAAGGCGACGAUCCGUAGCUGGUCUGAGAGGAUGAUCAGCCACACUGGACCUGAGACACGGUCCAGACUCCAACGGGAGGCAGAGGGGGGAAAUAUUGGACAAGGGGCGCAAGCCUGAUCCAGCCAUACCGCGGGGGUGAAGAAGGCCUGCGGGUUGUAAAGCCCUUUUGUUGGAAAGAAAAGCAGCAGGUUAAUACCCCGCUGUUCUGACGGUACCCAAAGAAUAAGCACCGGCUAACUUCGUG